GUGGGGAAUAUUGCACAAUGGGCGCAAGCCUGAUGCAGCCAUGCCGCGUGUGUGAAGAAGGCCUUCGGGUUGUAAAGCACUUUCAGUCGUGAGGAAGGUAGUGUAGUUAAUAGCUGCAUUAUUUGACGUUAGCGACAGAAGAAGCACCGGCUAACUCCGUGCCAGCAGCCGCGGUAAUACGGAGGGUGCGAGCGUUAAUCGGAAUUACUGGGCGUAAAGCGCAUGCAGGUGGUUUGUUAAGUCAGAUGUGAAAGCCCGGGGCUCAACCUCGGAAUAGCAUUUGAAACUGGCAGACUAGAGUACUGUAGAGGGGGGUAGAAUUUCAGGUGUAGCGGUGAAAUGCGUAGAGAUCUGAAGGAAUACCGGUGGCGAAGGCGGCCCCCUGGACAGAUACUGACACUCAGAUGCGAAAGCGUGGGGAGCAAACAGGAUUAGAAACCCCAGUAGUCC
rnacentral:rRNA from 1 species